rnacentral:rRNA from 1 species
CUGUUGAUGCGGCUGCUUACCAUGCAGUCGAACGGUAAGGCCCUUCGGGGUACACGAGUGGCGAACGGGUGAGUAACACGUGGGUGAUCUGCCUUGCACUCUGGGAUAAGCCUGGGAAACUGGGUCUAAUACCGGAUAUGACUAUCGGAUGCAUGUCUGGUGGUGGAAAGCUUUUGCGGUGCAAGAUGGGCCCGCGGCCUAUCAGCUUGUUGGUGGGGUAAUGGCCUACCAAGGCGACGACGGGUAGCCGGCCUGAGAGGGCGACCGGCCACACUGGAACUGAGACACGGUCCAGACUCCUACGGGAGGCAGCAGUGGGGAAUAUUGCACAAUGGGCGCAAGCCUGAUGCAGCGACGCCGCGUGAGGGAUGACGGCCUUCGGGUUGUAAACCUCUUUCAGCAGGGACGAAGCGCAAGUGACGGUACCUGCAGAAGAAGCACCGGCUAACUACGUGCCAGCAGCCGCGGUAAUACGUAGGGUGCGAGCGUUGUCCGGAAUUACUGGGCGUAAAGAGUUCGUAGGCGGUUUGUCACGUCGUGUGUGAAAUCCCACAGCUUAACUGUGGGCUUGCAGGCGAUACGGGCAGACUUGAGUACUGCAGGGGAGACUGGAAUUCCUGGUGUAGCGGUGAAAUGCGCAGAUAUCAGGAGGAACACCGGUGGCGAAGGCGGGUCUCUGGGCAGUAACUGACGCUGAGGAACGAAAGCGUGGGGAGCGAACAGGAUUAUAUACCCUGGUAGUCCACGCCGUAAACGGUGGGUACUAGUUGUGUGUCCCUUCCACGGGGAUCCGUGACGCAGCUAACGCAUUAAGUACCCCGCCUGGGGAGUACGGGCCGCAAGGCUGAAACUCACAGGAAUUUGACGGGGGGCGCGCACAGGCGGCGGAACCAUGUGGAUUAAUUCAAUGCACCACGAACUACUCUUACCUUGCGUUUUGAUAUGACACAGGAUCCCCCACCCAAAAGCAGUUCCGCCUGUGCGCUGGGGAUAGCU